rnacentral:rRNA from 1 species
UACAGAGGUGCCAAGCGUUGUUCGGAUUUAUUGGGCGUAAAGGGUGCGUAGGCGGUCAUGUAAGUCGGGUGUGAAAUACCGGAGCCUAACUCCGGAACGGCAUUCGAAACUACAUGGCUCGAGAUCUGGAGAGGUGACUGGAAUUCUCGGUGUAGCAGUGAAAUGCGUAGAUAUCGAGAGGAACACCAGAGGCGAAGGCGAGUCACUGGACAGAAUCUGACGCUGAAGCACGAAAGCUAGGGGAGCAAACGGG